rnacentral:rRNA from 1 species
CAGCCGCCGCGGGAAUACGAAGGGGGCUAGCGUUGUUCGGAAUUACUGGGCGUAAAGCGCACGUAGGCGGAUAUUUAAGUCAGGGGUGAAAUCCCAGAGCUCAACUCUGGAACUGCCUUUGAUACUGGGUAUCUUGAAUAUGGAAGAGGUGAGUGGAAUUCCGAGUGUAGAGGUGAAAUUCGUAGAUAUUCGGAGGAACACCAGUGGCGAAGGCGGCUCACUGGUCCAUUACUGACGCUGAGGUGCGAAAGCGUGGGGAGCAAACAGGAUUAGAUACCCGGGUAGUCCCUGUCUCUUAUAC